UACGUAGGUGGCGAGCGUUAUCCGGAAUGAUUGGGCGUAAAGGGUGCGUAGGCGGCCUGCUAAGUCUGGAGUGAAAGGUACCGGCUCAACCGGUACAGGCUCUGGAAACUGGCGGGCUAGAGAGCAGGAGAGGGCGGUGGAACUCCAUGUGUAGCGGUAAAAUGCAUAGAUAUCACGCAGAACCCCGAUUGCGAAGGCAGCAUGCCGGCUUCCUACUGACGCUGAAGCACGAAGGCGUGGGGAUCGAACAGG
rnacentral:rRNA from 1 species